ensembl:lncRNA
AGGGAAGAGCAGGUCCUCCGUCUGAGGGCUCAGGUUGUAGCUCAGCAGGUACACUGCGCCCAGCUGGAGAGUGGAGACGAUGCCCUCACCGCUCUGAGCCAGCAGCUCCGAGACACGCUGGGAGAACUGGAGCACAGUCGUAAACACAGCCAGGAGUGUGAGCUGCUCAUCAGCACUCUCAGAGACACCGCUGCUACCCUUCGCUGACAGAGGUGCAGCGACUGCAGGAGCAGGUGAGAAAGCUCCAGGUGGAUGCAGCAGAUGAGGGCUGGAGACAAGCACAAGUUGAUUCUCUGGAACAGAAGGUAGCUAGUCUGGAAGGAGAACUACUGGCAGCUCAAAGGCAGUGUGACCAGGUAAACAAUGUAUGUACAGAUCAGAUACACUUUGCCUGUGGCAGAUUCUCACAGUCACUCUCUCUCAGGCUAUCCAAAAGAGAGACGCCCUACUUAGACAAUCCGAGGCUGAUCUUCUGCAGGCGUGGGAGAAGAUCCGAAGCAAGGCGGCGGAGGCAGAGAGACAGGCCGUCUCUGCUCGAGGGCUAGAAGCUGAUCUGUAGAAACCCAAGAAAGAGAAAAGGCGAAGGGAGAAAGAGUGCGCCUCACUCAAAACACAGAUGCUUCAGCUCAGAGAACAACUGAAGGAGGCUUACACCACCUGUAGAGACACGGCAGUCUCCUGUCUGAAAUGAAACGACCCAUCAAUUCAGAGCCUCAAGACAUCAGCUGCAUGCACAUCUUCACACACACCACUGUGGGAAUGAUGCUCAUUAGAAACAAUAUCCUCAGCACAGAUGAAGACGGGCAGAUGUGGCCAAGGAGCUGACGCAGCAGCAGGAGAAAGUGCAGCUGUUGGAGAGAGGCCAGUGUCUGGCUCAGGAGCAGCUCUCAGAGAGAAAGCUCAGAGGAGACUCCAGGCAGAGCUCAAGAGAAUAACAGACAGUCUGGAAAGCACCCACCAGGAGCUACAGGACUCACGGAGGCUGCUGGAGCGUGUGAAGACAGAGGCCAGCAGCAGCAGACAGGAAGCCCUGAGACUCCAGCAGGAGAAUCAGCAGAUCCAGGAAGAGCUGGAUGUCAACAGAGAGACCCUCUCAGCCCUGAAGACUAAAGCCGGGUGUGUGAGGGGCGACUGGUGGAGCUGCACACCCAGCAGCAGAUGACAGCCCUGCAGGCCAGAGACGAGGAAGUGCUCAUGCUAAAGAUGUGACAGCUCCUGACUUCACAGGGAAAGCAAGCUUGUCGUGACCAACGUGAACCAGUGGAUGAAGGAGCAAAGUGAAGAAAGAGGCAGAGGAAGAAGAAAGCACUUCCUGACCACCUGCAGUGCAAGUCUGUGCCAGUCAGCGCCUGUGUCUGGAUCGAAGUCAAUGACUACAGAACGGUUUUCUGCAAACCAGCUGUCUCUUGGAUCACUGACACGAAGAGUUCUAGAAAAACAUGAUUAUCAAAUGAUGGCUGAUAAUUGACCUUACUACAGAUAAAUGACUGACAGCCCAAAUAACAAAUCAAAUCAAUUCUCAGACUUUUGUCUGUCAAACAAAAGUCGCCUGCACUUAACCAACUAAUACUAGUACUUACCUUUUUUUCUUUUUCUUUUCUAUCAUAUACAAAAAAAAAAAAAAAAAAACCCUGGCUACGUGUUCUGUACUAGACUAACUGAGACUUGUCAUAGCACUUGUAUACCGUUGUUGUUUUCUCGUUGAUCUGAUUGUUUCUACUGUUCUCAUUUGUAAGUCGCUUUGGAUAAAAGUGUCUGCUAAAUGAUUAAAUGUAAAUGUAAAUGUAAACUGACUGAAUUGUAGAUUGCAUGAACAACUAAACUUCUGAAUGAUUGUCCAAAAGCGAAACAUCUCUAUGUUUGCUCAAAGGAAUAGUAGAAUAUAGAUUUUCAAGGUUAAAGGCAGGUGCACAGACCCCAAGUAGAUCAUGCAUGUGAAUUUUGAUCUUUCUGUUGUUAAUGCCAUGCUAUACUGUCUGAGCUUCAGGAAAGCACAUAAAAAAUCUAUCUUUAAAAUUUGGAAAAAAAAUAUUUAAAACAAUGUUUAUAAUAUUCACAUUUUGUAAAAAGCAGAUGUUUUAAAAAUAUGUUAUGAGUUUUUUUUUUGUUGUUGUUUUGUUUUGUUUUAUCAUAUGUUCUCAUGUUUACUUUUUUGUAAUGUGUGAAAAGUAUUAAUGUUAAAGGUUUACUAUUUAUCCCUGAUUUUUUCUCAGAGUGUGAUUUUGGGUUAAUUGUAUUGAUUUAAUUUAGGAUCAAUUGACUCAGAACGUAAUUAUAUCCAGAAUUUUAACAUUAUACAAGUGAUAAAUAGCACUUGUUGUUCUUAAGGACAUUUACAUUCAUAGAAAAACACACACAAAAUGCAUUUGUCCUGUUUGCAUCUGCAGAAAGCGUCCAUUACAUAAUUUUCCUGUUUAUUAAUGUCAAUAUGUAUGACAACAACUGUCUGACUUCUUUACACUUGGCUAGAUUUUCCCUGGUAAUGUCACUAUUUUCUCAUCUUCUACCAUUAUAUUUAGUAUUUCGGCAUAAUAACCUGGAACAAAACCCUGUGCUUUCUGUUUUUUCUGCACAAUGAUUUGAGGUAUUUUAUUCCAAAGUCAUCAGGUACAUCAUUCGCAUGUACAUCACCUGUUUGAGAAGCAGCGGCAGUGGUUAAGUUAUUGCUGUCGUAAGGUCAGUUGGGUCACUAUACCUUGUUGAUACAGCUUAAACCAGUCUAAGAUGGUUUGCAUGGUCUAAGUUGAUUUGUGAUUAUCUCUCAGCCUGACCAGAUUGCAUGAACAACUAAACUUCUGAAUUAUUGUCCAAAAGCUAAACAUCUCUGUUUGCUCAAAGGAAUAGUAGAAUAUAGAUUUUCAAGGUUAAAGGCAGGUGCAGGUCAACUGGUCUUUUCAAGCCUGACCAGCCAAAAAAUAGCUAAAACCAGACUAGAAGACCAGUUAAGACUUUCUUGGUCAAGCAGCUUCACCGGCACUAGAGCAACAAAGAGCAUAAACAAACCUGAACCAGCAUGAGAAUUCAUGACUAAACUGAAGUAUUUAUCUGGAUACUCGUCUUAGAAAUGAUGAGAUCUCAUAUGUUGAUGAGACCUGAUUAUUUUCUGAAUAGCUCUGCACUAAGUAUCUGAUGCCCCUCGUGUUCAUUUAUAUACAGACAUCAGCUGCUGAUUUAUUUUUCUCUUUCAAAUUAAAUUUGCUGACAUGCAAUACUUCAUAUUUAAUGAACAUUCCGCUGUGAAUUUUGUGCCUAGUUACAUUUCAAGUUUACGGAGAUGAAUGAGAGUGUGAAUUCUAAUGGCAGGUAAAGUUUCAAUUCUGCUUCUGUCAUAGAUUGUGGUUUAGAAAAGUUAAAGGUAAGGCUUGUAUUUGUUUAUGAAUCAAUCAUAUAAUAAUGCCUCAUAUGACUGAUAGCCUAAUAUAAAACAUUUUAAUGGAUUUUACAUUGAAGGCAAUAUAAGUGACGUGUCAUAUCAGUCAGCCAGCAACAUUAAUAGCACUUUUAAAUGAUUAAAUAAUGCUGUGCCUUAUUCACUGUCAUCAUGCAUUUCCUAUAAACACAAAUCAGUCAAUAAAAGUGAUAUAUGUUUGUAUUUGGCA